rnacentral:lncRNA from 1 species
GUAACUGUCAGGCUGCCACAGACCGAUGCCAGUUCUGUCCUGAAGGGAGCAUAUGUGAUUUCCAUGUGGCCAAUAAUGAGUUCCCCUGUCCUGCUGCAUGUGGAGCCAGCUCUUGCAGUGCCUCUGCAGGCAGAAAAGACGGAGAGUGGUGAACAGUGUUGUGGAAUGGGCACACACCUAGCUGAGAAGGGAACCGGACCUGGCUGUGUUCCUGAGGACUUGCUGAUGCUCAGUGGGACCAAAGAAGGCACCAGGUGGACCAGUAGCUGUGCUGACAACAUGGAGGAAAAUGGCCCUGGGUGACCCCGAGCCUCUGGGAUGACUAUGGGUGGUUAUGCGGGGAGGCUGUUGUGCUCUGCGUGUCUGUGCCCCCGUGCAUAGAGCAACAGAAGGGGGAUGUGAUAGCGGGAUAGGUACCCAAGGAGCUGUGUCAGAAGAUCCAGGGAGUGACCCAGCCCAAGUAUUGGUGGAAUGCCCAUCCCUAUGUAGGGACAGUCCCCAUGGACAGAGUGCCCACGGGCAGUCUCUGGGUCUGUGGUAGUUAUGAAUGGCCUUAUCUCCUGGCCAACUGGACAGGGUGAUGCCCUUGGGGGUGGCCCUACCUUGCAGCUGCUGUUCGGAGAACUUUGGAUGUGCGACCCAGCAAUUGGAAGAGGGUAAAAGGGCGCUGUCACUGGGAGAAAUGAAUGCCCUGGUGGAUUUACCUCCUGGCUGUUCUUAGUCUGUCCGCGGGGGCUAUUGCUAUGGAGUGGCAGGUUACUGCCUUGACAGAGCAUAACGCCCGAGCCCUCAGUCAUACAGCCUGGGCCCUGUCUCUCUUAACUGAUGGAGUAGACCAGACCCGGAAGGUCGUGCUGCAGAACCGCAUGGCUCUAGACAUCCUUACUGCAGCACAAAGGGGGACCUGUGCAGUUACUGAGGUGCAAUGUUGCACGUUUAUACAAGAUAGUGCAAGGAACAUAUCGCAAGCCUUGCGACAGGCUAGGCACAAGAUCUCGUGGAUCCAGACGUUGACAGGAGACCCCCUGCAGGAACAGUGAUCUAAGUUGUCCUCCUCGUGGCGGUGGGCUCUGACCACAGUAGGAGGUAUAUCCUGUCUCCUGAUGGUCAUUUGCUGUUCUCUGUAUUGCUGUUGUGGAAUGUAGGUCCAAGGCAUUGGGCUGUGUGCCCCUGCCUCCUGCAAACUCCCCCCACUGCUGAGGUCUGAUGGGGGUGGAGGGAAGGGAAAUGGAGAUAGUGUGGACAAUCAGAC